rnacentral:rRNA from 1 species
AGAGUUUGAUCCUGGCUCAGGNCGAACGCUGGCGGCGUGCUUAACACAUGCAAGUCGAACGAGACGAUUGAAAGCUUGCUUUUGAAAGUCGAGUGGCAAACGGGUGAGUAACGCGUAGACAACCUGCCGUAAAGAUGGGGACAACAGUCCGAAAGGACUGCUAAUACCGAAUGUUGUGGAACUUCCGCAUGGGAGCUCCACUAAAGAUGGCCUCUACUUGUAAGCUAUCGCUUUACGAUGGGUCUGCGUCUGAUUAGCUAGUUGGUGGGGUAACGGCUUACCAAGGCGACGAUCAGUAGCCGGUCUGAGAGGAUGAACGGCCACAUUGGAACUGAGACACGGUCCAGACUCCCUACGGGAGGCAGCAGUGGGGGAAUCUUCCGCAAUGGGGCGCAAGCCUGACGGAGCAACGCCGCGUGAGUGAAGAAAGGGUUUUCGACUCGUAAAGCUCUGUUGUCGGGGACGAAAUGUGGAGGGUUGUGAAUAACAGCUUUCCAAUGGACGGUACCUGANNAGGAAAGCCCACGGCUAACUACGNGCCCANCNNCCGCGGGUAAUAA